rnacentral:sRNA from 1 species
GGCAUCUAUGAAAAAGCAAGAUGAAGACAAAGAUAAAAGAGAUAAGGAAGAAAAAGAAAGCAGCAGAGAAAAAAGGGAGCGGUCUCGUAGCCCAAGAAGUGAGACUAUUGUUAGGUUCACAUUUUUAAAUCCACGACUCAGCUUCUAUAUUUGUGGUGAAAGACGCAAAUCCAGAUCUCCUUCCCCUAGAAGACGAUCUUCCCCUGUCAGGAGAGAGAGAAAGCGCAGUCAUUCUCGAUCUCCCCGUCACAGAACCAAGAGCCGGAGUCCUUCCCCUGCUCCAGAAAAGAAGGAAAAAACUCCAGAGCUCCCAGAACCUUCAGUGAAAGUAAAAGAACCUUCAGUACAAGAGGCUACUUCUACUAGUGACAUUCUGAAAGUUCCCAAACCUGAACCUAUACCAGAGCCUAAAGAACCUUCUCCGGAAAAAAAUUCCAAAAAAGAAAAGGAGAAGGAGAAGACCCGACCACGAUCUCGGUCACGCUCCAAAUCAAGAUCCCGGACGCGGUCCCGCUCUCCUUCUCACACUCGACCUAGACGGCGCCAUAGAUCCCGAUCAAG